rnacentral:rRNA from 1 species
CCUACGGGUGGCAGCAGUGGGGAAUAUUGGGCAAUGGGCGCAAGCCUGACCCAGCAACGCCGCGUGAAGGAAGAAGGCUUUCGGGUUGUAAACUUCUUUUGUCAGGGAAGAGUAGAAGACGGUACCUGACGAAUAAGCCACGGCUAACUACGUGCCAGCAGCCGCGGUAAUACGUAGGUGGCAAGCGUUGUCCGGAUUUACUGGGUGUAAAGGGAGGGUAGCCGGGUUGACAAGUCAGAUGUGAAAUCCAGGGGCUUAACCGCAGAACUGCAGUUGAAACUGUUGGUCUUGAGUACUGGGGAGGCAGACGGAAUUCCUAGUGUAGCGGUGAAAUGCGUAGAUAUUAGGAGGAACACCAGUGGCGAAGGCGGUCUGCUGGACAGCAACUGACGGUGAGGCGCGAAAGCGUGGGGAGCAAACAGGAUUAGAUACCCCAGUAGUC